rnacentral:rRNA from 1 species
UACGUAGGGGGCUAGCGUUGUCCGGAAUCAUUGGGCGUAAAGCGCGUGUAGGCGGUCCGGUAAGUCCGCUGUGAAAGUCGAGGGCUCAACCCUCGAAUGCCGGUGGAUACUGUCGGGCUAGAGUGCGGUAGGGGAGACUGGAAUUCCUGGUGUAGCGGUGAAAUGCGCAGAUAUCAGGAGGAACACCGGUGGCGAAGGCGGGUCUCUGGGCCGUAACUGACGCUGAGGAGCGAAAGCAUGGGGAGCGAACAGG